UUAAACUGAAGAGUUUGAUCCUGGCUCAGAUUGAACGCUGGCGGCAUGCCUUACACAUGCAAGUCGAACGGCAGCACGGGUGCUUGCACCUGGUGGCGAGUGGCGAACGGGUGAGUAAUACAUCGGAACAUGUCCUGUAGUGGGGGAUAGCCCGGCGAAAGCCGGAUUAAUACCGCAUACGAUCU
rnacentral:rRNA from 3 species